rnacentral:misc_RNA from 1 species
UCUCCGUUGGUGAACCAGCGGAGGGAUCAUUACAGAGUUGCAAAACUCCCAAACCCUUGUGAACGUUACCUAUCCCGCUGGUUCGGCGGGCGGCCCGGGCCCCGCGCCCGGCGCCCCCCGGCCCCCCGUGGGCGCCCGCCGGAGCUAAACCAAACCCUUGAAUUGCAUGGCCUCUCUGAGUCUUCUGUACUGAAUAAGUCAAAACUUUCAACAACGGAUCUCUUGGUUCUG